rnacentral:sRNA from 1 species
AACGUAACCUAGGAUUUAUGAUGAGAGUAGGUUUUCGAUAAAUAAAAGUAACAUUCGUGUGAUGAGACUAAUUCUUAACUUUAUGACAUACAAAACCAAAACUGGAAAUACCAAUGAUAACAGUAAAGUUAGUCGCAACUGAAGAUGAGGCUUAUAAGUUAAAAGAGUAAAUUGAUUAAACACCAAUAACAUUAAACGAUCAUGUCUUAAUUCAAAAACUCAUAAAAUGUAACACAAAAUCAAGUUCUUGAAACAUAAAGUAGAACAGAACAAGACUUAAACUGAACUAUCAAAAACCAUAUCAAAAGCUUGAAGCUUUUUGUACGGGUUGCUUAAGAUCUUGGCUUCUCCUUCUUUUCCUUGAAGAGGGCCAAGAGUGAAACACCAGAAACCUUCACGACCUUGAACCUAACUCCGGGAAUAUCUCCCACAGCGUGACCCUUACGACCAAAUCCAGCAAUCAAGACCUCAUCCUGCAACACCAUAAACAAGAAAUGUAUCAGCAUAUGAA